GUUUAAAAGAGAGAUCAGACUGUUGGAGAGAUAUCAGGCAAGUUGGAGAAUUAAUUAAGAUAAAAGUCACAUGUGCAUAAGAGGUUGAACCUGCUGUCACUUUCACUCAACCAGACUGUGCCUGCUCUCUCUCCUGUCACUCUCACUGCUCCUGGUCGAGAUUCAGCCCUGCUGCAUCCUCCUGGCUUCAUCAGAAAACCCUACAAUAUUAUUUGUUUAGUAAAAUCCUGUUUUAGUAGUUGUUUAAUGUGUGUGCUUGUCUAUUUAAGACAUUGCUGUAUCUCAUUGUAAACUAAGGAGAGUAAAACUCUUUCUUCACUAUUCUCUGGUUACAUACUCUCAUUCUCUCUAAUCUCUCUUGUUACAAAUGAACUCACUCUCUUUGAUACUCAAGAACUCUCUUAAUCAUUUAUUGUCCAGCAGCAUUCUCCUUGAUUCUCACAUACUUUCUUCAUUCUCUUCUCACUAAAUCCGACCAUACUCUGUCUCUAUUUCAUUCUCACACUCUGUUGUGUUAAUUCUCACAUGGUAUCAGAGCAACAAGCUCUUGAGAACCUAUAAAGCUUCCGCAAAUCAUUUCCAGUUAUUAUUACUCUUUAAAACUCUGUUUCUGUUCAUCCUUGUAUCCUCUGGUCCAAAGCUUUUCCAGGAGGGAAGAGACUCACCAGAACUCAAGAUAAAGGAGAACUUUAGUGUCUGGAACUCAAGAAGGUUUCAGCUCAGUCCAGCAAGCCUCAUCAAAGUCCAGUCUGUUGCAAAACCAGUAGGAACAUUCUAUUGUCCACUGGUCCAAAACUCUUCAAGAUGGAGAACACAAAAGAAAUGGCAACCCAAGAAACUGUCAAGAGUCCAAAGAAGAUACUAAACCACCUCCUCUGGUCCAAAUUGCUGAAGAAAAUUCAUGGAGCCCAUUCUCUGACCACCAAGACCCACGACCAGGAAGAGGACAGGAGGUACUUUAAGUGUGUUCCUGACAUGAAGGAAGAACACAUCAAGGAAAAGUGCUGGGAUCUUCACCCACACCACAAACCUGCCAAGUUCAGAUAAACCAAGUCCAUGGAGGUACAAGGAACUAGCUCAGGUUCCUUGAGUUGUAAGCUAACCUCCUGAACUUUAAUUUGAGCUUGUUUAAUUGUUUAAAUUGUUUCUGGUUCUGUGUGUUAUGUUCUAGGAAUUUACUAGCAAGGUUUUGUCUAGUUUCAGGUUCUAGUUUAAUUAUUUGUGUUGUGUGAUUUGUUUUGUUCUUGGGACAGGCUCAAGUUGCUAGUGUUGGUGAACCUAGUUUCUGUCCCAUGUUACAAAAGUUGUGUUUGUGGUUCUGUUUUGAAUUGUUUCUAAGCUAGCUAGCAUGGUUAUGACUAGUUCUUGCCUUAGAUUAAUUGUUUGUGUUUUCUCUGGUCUAAGUGGGUUGCUUAGUCUCAGUUUCUGUCUUGUUUCAUUGAUAGAGGUCUAGGAGAGUUUCCUGGUCUUGUAUUGCAUCUUUAAAAUUGUUUAUGAUAUUGUUUGCAUCCUUAUGUUGUUCCUGGUCCAGUGUUGCAUUCUUAAAAUUGUGUAAGGUGAUUAGAUGUGUUUUCUAGUCUCUGGCUGUCAUUUAAUCAUUUUGUUGCUUAAAUGAUCAUUAAAAUUAGCCUUCUUGCCUUGUCUGUAAUGAGUUAUCAUACAUAUGCAUUUAGAGAGUUGGUUGCAUGGAUUUGAUUUGAAUGAGUUGUUUAGUUUCUGUCCAUUGCAUUUUCUUAAAACAUUGGGAUCAGGAUUGGUGAUUUACCAAGGUCUGAUCCUAGUGUGUGUAUCUUAUCUUGUUUGGAGGUUGUGUGUUGUUUCAGGAUGUGAUCUGAGUUCAUACAUCUUCCCCCAAGACAAGAGAAAGACAUGGUCCAUUGUAAGAGACAAUGAGAGUUGCUUGUGAUGUAGGGACUGGUUAUAAGAAGCGCAGACUAAGAGGGUUGUUGAGCUCCUGGUCCAAGACACACAAGAAAAGAAGAUCACCACUUGAGGCGUGGUCCAUUGUAAGAGACAAUGAGAGUUGCUUGUGAUGUAGGGACUGGUUAUAAGAAGCGCAGACCAAGAGGGUUGUUGAGCUCCUGGUCCAAGACACACAAGAAAAGAAGGUCACCACUUAAGUCAAGAGGAAGACCGGUGAUCCAAUGGUACUUGAAGCUGAAGGCAGAUGGUGAAUCAGUGAUUUAAGCGCAGCUGUUAGGGUGGUGUGCUCCUGAUUUUAAGCUUAGUGAGGUGCACUUUCAAGCUUGAAUCUAUACUCAAUUCAAGCUUGAGGUGGGAAUCAUGUAAGUGACCUAAGGAGCCAAAGUUCAAGACCUUUUUCCCUCCUUACCAUUACCAAAGAAUGAAGAUGAAGCUAUCAGGGGUUUAGGCAGUGGCGUGUCUGGAGAAGAGGCUGUUCAGAGCAGUCUUGGCUGUGUCAUGAAGAAGGUUACUCUAGCAAAGCGGCUUCAGGUGUUGAGGUGGUUGUGGAGAGCUUAUGAAGACUCAAGCAUUCCGUGAAGAUGGCAGAAUCAGUAGUGAGAGUGUAAUGGUUUGAUGUUGUGAUCUGAUCAUGAAGCUAUCAUCCUUCCAAGCUUGGUUCUUCCUAUACUCAGUCCCAAGCUUGAGGGGGAGUAUUGAGAAGCUUCAAUGAUCAGUAGGAGAGUACUUGGUGGUUCUUCAAAGAAGAGAAGCUAAUCUGGUGAAGGGCAGUUCUCAAGAUAGUUACUGAAGAAGAAGAAGCAACCAAGACUCAAGAAGAAGCGUGUAUCUCUAUGAAUGCAAUCUGGUGGUAAAGUCCAAGCACUUGAACACAGCAGGAGGUUGUGUGAAAGGAGGGGAAUAUCAGUGAGCUACCAGAAGAUCCAUGAAGCUUUCAGUGUUUAGUCUCUCAUUUCCUCAUAGAGGGCCAGCAAGAGGUUGGCAAUUUUAAAGAGGGUCAAAGUGAUCAGUAUGGAGAUGCUGUCACUCCUCAAUGUGCUCACCAGCCAGAUGCAAGGAUAUAAGGAUUAUUCAAUUAGGGACAUUCUUGGCUGAGCAAUCACAUGAUGGUGGCAGAUCAUGGAGCUGCAAAGUCCCCCUUCAUGAUUAAAAUUCAAAAGAAAAAUACAAGGCUGGUUGAGAGAAGAAAAGCGUGGAGGAUUCAAGUGCUCAGCACUCCUCAACAACAUUCUAGAAACUGAUGCAAGGGAAGUACCUAAAACCAUCCUUAUUCUUAUGUGUGAAUAGGUUUGCCCCUUGAGAAUUUAUACAUGCCUUUUUUGCAUUAUUGAAUCAGGUACCUAUUGAGCUCAUGAACAAAGGCAAGCUUUGUCUCAACCCCUAAAUGGAGGCAAGAAGCCAGAAGAAAGGGGGAGACAAGCUCAGGUCAAAAGAAGAAGCUCAAAGGUGAUUUGAUGGUGAAGCAAUUGGCCCUACAAAGUCUGUAUUACAAGUGCCUUGCAAGGCCAUUCAGAAAGGGAUUGAAGUGGGGGAUUCAAGUGAAAGCCAGGAGGGUAAACACUCCUCAUUAUCAUCCCAAAGACAUGUUGGCUUGAUCUCAACCAAGAAGAAGGCAAGAAGCUAGAAGCAAGAGGGAGACAAACUGUGAAAUAAGAAGUGUUCAAGAGGAACAAUUUGAAGUAAGAAGCAAGUGGCGCCUUACUUGCUACUGGAGAGGGCAAGCUGAGUUUGAAGUAUGAUCAGCCUCACUGGUGUUUGAAGAUGAUCUGGUCGCCUCCCAUCCUUUAUAAGAAGAAAUCUUGAAGCUGAUUGAGAGGGGGAGUCCCAAACCGGUUCCAUAAGAGGUGAAGCUGAGUUGUAUGGUGUGUGCACCAUCUCAUUGGUGUUGCUGCACCUGUUUAGGCCAUGAUCCAGAGCUUCUUGUGUCCAAGCACACUGAUUCUAAGGCACAAGAGCUCACUGGCCAAUCCCUAGGCUGUGUUGGACUCCACUCUUUUUCCCUUGCAAGGUUUUAUCCCAUGAGGUUUUCCUUGUAAGGUUUUUAAUGAGGGAGCUUCUUCACAGUUCCAAGCUUGUCCAAGGAUCUCCUAUGGUCAAGCUUGAGGGGGAGUGUUGGAAUGAAGAUAAAUAAAGCAGGAGUUGAUGAGAGAUCAAGCAAAACCGGAGCAAGCAAAUUAAGCAUCCGGAACAAGCUAUUUUGUACAGUCUUGGUUUGCAAGUAACCUAGAGUGUCUUGGAAGUCAAGGCAGAGUGGGAACUCGUCAAACUGAAUAUUCUGAGGCAUAUUUGAAGUUUAAAAGAGAGAUCAGACUGUUGGAGAGAUAUCAGGCAAGUUGGAGAAUUAAUUAAGAUAAAAGUCACAUGUGCAUAAGAGGUUGAACCUGCUGUCACUUUCACUCAACCAGACUGUGCCUGCUCUCUCUCCUGUCACUCUCACUGCUCCUGGUCGAGAUUCAGCCCUGCUGCAUCCUCCUGGCUUCAUCAGAAAACCCUACAAUAUUAUUUGUUUAGUAAAAUCCUGUUUUAGUAGUUGUUUAAUGUGUGUGCUUGUCUAUUUAAGACAUUGCUGUAUCUCAUUGUAAACUAAGGAGAGUAAAACUCUUUCUUCACUA